CGAGGCUUACACAUGCAGUCGAGGGGUAACAGAUCUUCGGAUGCUGACGACCGGCGAACGGGUGAGUAACACGUAUGCAACUUACCCAUAACUCGGGAAUAGCCCAAAGAAAUUUGGAUUAAUACCCAAUAAUACAGGCGUACCGCAUGGUAUUCUUCGUUAAAGAAUAAUCGGUUAUGGAUAGGCAUGCGUUCUAUUAGGUAGUUGGUGAGGUAACGGCUCACCAAGCCGACGAUGGAUAGGGGAACUGAGAGGUUGUCCCCCCACACUGGUACUGAGACACGGACCAGACUCCUACGGGAGGCAGCAGUGAGGAAUAUUGGUCAAUGGACGAAAGUCUGAACCAGCCAAAUCGCGUGAAGGAAGAAGGUAUUAUGUAUCGUAAACUUCUUUUGUAAGAGAGUAAAGUGCACUACGUGUAGUGUAUUGCAAGUACCUUACGAAUAAGCAUCGGCUAAUUCCGUGCCAGCAGCCGCGGUAAUACGGAAGAUGCAAGUGUUAUCCGGAUUUAUUGGGUUUAAAGGGUGCGUAGGUGGUCUAAUAAGUCAGUGGUGAAAUCUCUUUGCUUAACAAGGAAAUUGCCAUUGAAACUGUUAGACUUGAGAAUGGACGAGGUAGGCGGAAUUCGUAGUGCAGCGGUGAAAUGCAUAGAUAUUACGAAGAACUCCAAUAGUGUAGACUGCUUACCAGACCAUAUCUGACACUAAGGCACGAAAGUGUGGGUAUCAAACAGGAUUAGAUACCCUGGUAGUCCACACAGUAAACGAUGAAUACUAACUGUUUGCGAUAUACAGCAAGUGGUCGAGCGAAAGCGUUAAGUAUUCCACCUGGGAAGUAUGCCGGCACGGUGAAACCCAAAGGAAUUGACGGGGCCCGCACAAGCGGAGGAACAUGUGGUUAAUUCGAUAUACGCGAGAACUUACCCGGGCUCGAACGAUAUUUGAUACAUCCG
rnacentral:rRNA from 1 species